rnacentral:lncRNA from 1 species
GACGGUCCAUCUGGGGAAUAUGGUGGUUCCGAGGAGGGCUACGGUGGAUGGAAACAAUCGUCUUACGCAGAGGAGUAGGGCUAGUUUGGAUUGGAAGAACCAUCUUACCAGGAAUAACCUUGUGAUUUACAGUGUAAUGUAUGAUGUUCAUUUAGCUGCCUGGUGUUGGCUUGAGAAAAGAGAAGGAGCUUCAGUCAUGUGGGAAGUUUCCUUUUGGUGUGCUUUUGUGCCUCAACUUGUUUUUUAUAUUAAUUAGACUGAAAUAACCUGUCAGUUUUAGUAAUGGUGAUUGCUUUCAUCUCUGCUUUUACCCUCUCUCCUCAUUACACUUAAUCUCCAUGAUUAGGAGCAUAAUCACACUAAUGUCGGUUUGUUCCUACCCAAAUUCAAUCCAAUGUAAACACCUGGCGUGUGCUUUUGAGUGUUUUUGGUUUACUCAACACAAUUCUUAACAAACAAGUUUUUAAUUAGCAUACACCAAAUCAUCCAUUAUAUAAUAAUUUGUUAUGCAUGUUACCACUGGGUCAAAAUGGCCAGCCUAUUUCCUUCAAAUUCAGUUCAACAAUCAAAGCCAACAAUAAAAUUCAAUUGAAAAAAGUUUCCAUCAAACCCAGGGAAACCUCAUUACUCCAUAAAGCUCCUCAAGUUGUGGGAUCAAUCUUUUCAUUUUUUCAAGUAUUCAACGAUCACAUUUUUAUAUGUUUUUUUUGUUCAAAGAAGCGUGAAGACGGUACUUGAAUUCUUGUCAAUGGUGUAAUUAUAAAUACUCUUUACUGUAUGGCCCCGUUUAAAGAUUACAUCUUCUAAGUUCCAUAUAUUCAUCUUAGGCGCACGCAAUUAAACUCUUGUUCGUAUAAAUUUGAACUCAAAAUCUUUUCUAACAAAGUGGUGGCUACGUCUUGGUUGGCUAGGCUCAUAUAUGAUGUGAUCAGAAUGUUGUGACUAGGCUCAUAUAACAUGCCACAUUAUGGAAACCAACUGAACACGUCAAUCCCUGUUCAGCUUCAGACAUGCUUGGUAACUGGUAACCGGUAACUAGUAACCAGUAACCGCUAUGCUAAGAAAGCUAUUUAAAUAGUUGACAGGCAAAUGAUUUCUUCUUCAUAAGUCGUUUCAGCUCAGAAAACUGCAACUUGUUAACUGUUCUCUCUCUUUUCUGUGGAUUUCAAUUUUCAUCCGAUCCAAACAUGCCUCUGGGAACGCUUGAAGUUCUUCUUGUUGAUGCCAAAGGCCUCGACAACAAUGAUUUUCUCGGUAACUCUCUCUCUCUCUCUCCCUCUGUGCCUGUGUUAAGGAUCUUCGAUCUCCCAGCCGAUCAUUUACUGUAUGAUUUGUAGAAACAUUUAUACAAGAGAAAUAAUUUAUGGGUUGCUUCCUGCUUCACCCUUUUGUGGAUCUAAACUCCUUGCUAGCUUUGUCUUAUCUGAGUCAAUGCUUUUGCCUGAUUUUUCUAGGCUUGAUGACCCUGUUUUCUCAUGUGUCUAUAAAUAUGUAUGAUUAUGUGGGUCAAAAGUUGAAUCUUUGAUGCACUAACUAACCAAAAACAAAAGAAUCCAUGAAAGUUCUGAGUCACUUUUGCAUAGAUCCAUAGUAAGUUUAAGUUAAGGACAAAGGAUCUAUCUACUUCUGACAAUGGGGGUGCUUGGAUUUACUUAUGACUAUGCUAAGUUGAAUCAGGAAAUUGUUUUUUGGGGCAACAGAAUUGAUAUUUGGAUCCACAAAGAAUUUGAUAUAAAUCUGUUCUACUUUUUAAUCUUUCUGCUUUAAGUUUCUGAAUUUGCUAAUUAUGUAUGUGUGACAUGGGUUGAAUGCUUUAUGAGCAGCUGACAUGGAUCCCUAUGUCCUUUUGACUCUAAGGACCCAAGAGAAGAAAAGCAAUGUGGUCUCAGGUACAUUUCUACUUCUAGCCAUCUUCAUCUUUUGUGCACAUCUCCCCUGCAAUAAAAUUGUGUAACUUUUGGAAGGACAAUGGCUUAAAUUGGUGCCUGCAGUUUUCAAUGAAUUGUGUUAAAAAAAUUGUACAUGCAGGGCAAGGAUCUGCACCAGAAUGGAAUGAAACCUUUGUAUUUACAGUCUCUGAUGAUGUCUCCGAACUUCAUUUGAAAAUAAUGGAAAAGGAUAAUUUCAGCGCAGACGAUUUUGUUGGAGAAGCAACGUGAGUAUUUUUCUUUUUUCGGAUCCUUUAAUUUGUAUAUGGUUACUCACUCGAAAGUAAUUUGCAGCCCUCAGAAACUAGGUUUUGAGUUCUAACAGUUCAACCAGUGAUAUAUUCUCUGGUGAAAAGAGUGUAAUUUAUACUUUCAUGCCUAACUUAUCCAUGGCUGUUUGCAGCAUUUCAUUAGAGCCCAUUUUCACUGAAGGUAGCAUUCCACCAACUGCAUAUAAUGUUGUAAAUCAGGACAAAGAAUACCGUGGAGAGAUUAAAGUUGGACUCAGAUUCACUCCUGAGCCUGAGGUGCUCUCAAUUUUUUUUUUCCUCUUUUGGAACUUUAAAUUUGUAGUCAAUGUUCUAGUUUAUGAUUGUUGUGUUCUAUUUUAUGUUCUAUUUGCUACAUUGUUAGUGUCUUUACUCUGACUGCAUUCGUUGUUGCAGCAAAACGAGGGUGCAUCUGGGGAAUAUGGAAGAAACGACGGUCCAUCUGGGGGAUAUGGAAGAAACGACGGUCCAUCUGGGGAAUAUGGUGGUUCCGAGGAGGGCUAUGGUGGAUGGAAACAAUCAUCUUACGCUGAGGAGUAGGCUAAUUUGGAUCGGAAGAAUAAUCUUACCCGGAAUGACCUUGUGAUUUACAGUGUAAUGUAUGAUGUUCAUUUAGCUGCCUGGUGUUGGCUUGAGAAAAGAGGAGCUUCAGUCAUGUCAGAGGUUUCUUUUUGGUGUGCUUUUGUGUGCCUCAACUUGUUUGAUUG